CCGGUUGAUCCCGCCGGACCUGACUGCUAUCGGAUUGAUACUAAGCCAUGCGAGUCAUUGUAGCAAUACAAGGCAGACGGCUCAGUAACGCGUAGUCAACCUAACCUAUGGACGGGAAUAACCUCGGGAAACUGAGAAUAAUGCCCGAUAGAACACUAUAUCUGGAAUGGUUUGUGUUCCAAAUGAUUUAUCGCCGUAGGAUGGGACUGCGGCCUAUCAGUUUGUUGGUGAGGUAAUGGCCCACCAAGACUAUUACAGGUACGGGCUCUGAGAGGAGUAGCCCGGAGAUGGGUACUGAGACACGGACCCAGGCCCUAUGGGGCGCAGCAGGCGAGAAAACUUUGCAAUGUGCGAAAGCACGACAAGGUUAAUCCGAGUGGUUUGUGCUAAACGAACCUUUUGUCGGUCCUAGAAACACCGAUGAAUAAGGGGUGGGCAAGUUCUGGUGUCAGCCGCCGCGGUAAAACCAGCACCUCAAGUGGUCAGGAUGAUUAUUGGGCCUAAAGCAUCCGUAGCCGGCGCUGUAAGUUUUCGGUUAAAUCUGUACGCUCAACGUACAGGCUGCCGGGAAUACUGCAGCGCUAGGGAGUGGGAGAGGUAGACGGUACUCGGUAGGAAGGGGUAAAAUCCUUUGAUCUAUUGAUGACCACCUGUGGCGAAGGCGGUCUACCAGAACACGUCCGACGGUGAGGGAUGAAAGCUGGGGGAGCAAACCGGAUUAGAUACCCGGGUAGUCCCAGCUGUAAACUAUGCAAACUCAGUGAUGCAUUGGCUUGUGGCCAAUGCAGUGCUGCAGGGAAGCCGUUAAGUUUGCCGCCUGGGAAGUACGUACGCAAGUAUGAAACUUAAAGGAAUUGGCGGGGGAGCACCACAAGGGGUGAAGCCUGCGGUUCAAUUGGAUUCAACGCCGGGAAUC
rnacentral:rRNA from 1 species